AGAGUUUGAUCCUGGCUCAGAAUCAACGCUGGCGGCGCGCCUAACACAUGCAAGUCGAACGAGAAAGCCGCAAGGUGAGUAAAGUGGCGUACGGGUGAGUAACACGUGGAUAAUCUGCCCUUUAGUGGGGAAUACCGCUGGGAAACCGGCGACAAUACCGCAUAAGCUCGAGAGAGGAAAGCAGCAAUGCGCUGAAGGAGGAGUCCGCGGUCGAUUAGUUAGUUGGCGGGGUAAAGGCCCACCAAGACUGUGAUCGAUAGCCGGCCUGAGAGGGCACACGGCCACACUGGCACUGAAACACGGGCCAGACUCCUACGGGAGGCAGCAGUGGGGAAUCUUGCACAAUGGGGGAAACCCUGAUGCAGCGACGCCGCGUGAGCGAUGAAGCCCCUCGGGGUGUAAAGCUCUUUCGGCAGGGAAGAUUAUGACGGUACCUGCAAAAGCAGCUGCGGCUAACUACGUGCCAGCAGCCGCGGUAAUACGUAGGCAGCAAGCGUUGUUCGGAGUUACUGGGCGUAAAGGGUGUGUAGGCGGCUUUUUAAGUUUGGUGUGAAAUCUCCCGGCUCAACUGGGAGGGUGCGCCGAAUACUGAGAGGCUAGAGUGUGGGGGAGGAAAGUGGAAUUCCUGGUGUAGCGGUGAAAUGCGUAGAUAUCAGGAGGAACACCGGUGGUGUAAACGGCUUUCUGGACCAUAACUGACGCUGAGACACGAAAGCGUGGGUAGCAAACAGGAUUAGAUACCCUGGUAGUCCACGCCCUAAACGAUGCAUAUUUGGUGUGGGCCAUUCAUUUGGUCCGUGCCGGAGCUAACGCGUUAAAUAUGCCGCCUGGGGAGUACAGUCGCAAG
rnacentral:rRNA from 1 species